rnacentral:rRNA from 1 species
CAGUUUUGGCGGAGCCAUCCUUGGGAUACCACCCUUGUAGUACUGGGACUCUAACCAUAGGCCAUGAAUCUGGUCUUGGGACACUGUCAGGUGGGCAGUUUGACUGGGGCGGUCGCCUCCCAAAAGGUAACGGAGGCGCGCAAAGGUUCUCGCAGUACGGACGGGAAUCGUACGUGGAGUGUAAAGGCAAAAGAGAGCUUGAUUGCAAGACAUACAGGUCGAGCAAGGAUGAAAAUCGGACUUAGUGAUCCGGUGGUUCUGCGUGGAAGGGCCAUCGCUCAGCGGAUAAAAGCUACCCUGGGGAUAACAGGCUUAUCUCCCCCAAGAGUCCACCUCGACGGGUGGGUUUGGCACCUCGAUGUCGGCUCAUCACAUCCUGGGGCUGUAGUAGGUCCCAAGGGUUGGGCUGUUCGCCCAUUAAAGUGGUACGCGAGCUGGGUUCAGAACGUCGUGAGACAGUUCGGUCCCUAUCCGUCGCAGGCGUAGGAAAUUUGAGAAG